rnacentral:lncRNA from 1 species
UCUGCCAUACAGGGCUCCUUGGCAGGUGUUUUUCGUGGGCUGUCAACCGGAGAGCACGAAAAGGGACUUUGGGCAACAAGAGAAACCUGCAGCAGGGAGCCAGCUCCCGAGGCAGCCCAGCUUCCUCAGGGAAGGGUCUGUUGCAGGGUCAAAGCAAGAAGUUGGAGAGCCUCUUCCUUCAGCAGGCUUGCCCUGACAGUCAAGGUUAAUGGUGCCAAGCAGAGCUCCUGCCAUUUUCCUAGAGCCAUCAAAGGCUGGAAUUGGGAUUAUACAGCAGUGACUGGGGGUUGCUGCAAGACUCUGAUUCUCCUUCUUCCUCUUCAGUCAGCAGAAAGAUGGAAAAGGAAGAAAAAAAAAAAACUCAUGUCAGCGCACCGAUUCCUCGUGGGGGUCUGAGGACAGCAGUGGGAAAACCUCAAAAUCACCAGCACAGCAGACUGAAAGACAGAAGAGGAGGUAAGCUGUG